AACGAACGCUGGCGGCAGGCCUAACACAUGCAAGUCGAGCGAGGACUUCGGUCCUAGCGGCGGACGGGUGAGUAACGCGUGGGAACGUGCCCUUUGCUUCGGAAUAGCCCUGGGAAACUGGGAGUAAUACCGGAUGAGCCCUUUGGGGGAAAGAUUUAUCGGCGAAGGAUCGGCCCGCGUUGGAUUAGGUAGUUGGUGGGGUAAUGGCCUACCAAGCCGACGAUCCAUAGCUGGUUUGAGAGGAUGAUCAGCCACACUGGGACUGAGACACGGCCCAGACUCCUACGGGAGGCAGCAGUGGGGAAUCUUAGACAAUGGGGGAAACCAUGAUCUAGCCAUGCCGCGUGAGCGAUGAAGGCCUUAGGGUUGUAAAGCUCUUUCAGCUGGGAAGAUAAUGACGGUACCAGCAGAAGAAGCCCCGGCUAACUCCGUG
rnacentral:rRNA from 1 species